rnacentral:rRNA from 1 species
UACGGAGGGAGCUAGCGUUGUUCGGAAUUACUGGGCGUAAAGCGCACGUAGGCGGCUUUGUAAGUUAGAGGUGAAAGCCCGGGGCUCAACCCCGGAAUUGCCUUUAAGACUGCAUCGCUUGAAUCCAGGAGAGGUGAGUGGAAUUCCGAGUGUAGAGGUGAAAUUCGUAGAUAUUCGGAAGAACACCAGUGGCGAAGGCGGCUCACUGGACUGGUAUUGACGCUGAGGUGGCGAAAAGCGUGGGGAGCAAACAGG